UACGUAGGGUGCGAGCGUUGUCCGGAAUUAUUGGGCGUAAAGAGCUCGUAGGCGGUGUGUCGCGUCGGCCGUGAAAACCUGGGGGCUCAACUCUGGGCGGUGCGGUCGAUACGGGCAUCACUUGAGUUCGGCAGGGGAGACUGGAAUUCCUGGUGUAGGCGGUGAAAUGCGUAGAUAUCGAGAGGAACACCUGCGGCGAAGGCGGGUUGCUGGGCUGACACUGACGCUGAAGCGCGAAAGCUAGGGGAGCGAACGGG
rnacentral:rRNA from 1 species